rnacentral:misc_RNA from 1 species
AACGCACCUUGCGCCCUUUGGUAUUCCGAAGGGCAUGCCUGUUUGAGUGUCAUUAUAUUCUCAACCUCGCAAAGCUUGCUUUGCUAGGCUUGGAUGUGAGGGCUUUGCUGGCUUCCAUUGAGUUGGAUGGUCUGCUCCCUUCAAAUUUAUUAGUGGGAUCCUUUGUGGAUGGUCACUUGGUGUGAUAAUUAUCUACGCCGCCUGACUGUGAAGCAAAACUUGUGGGGACCUGCUUAUAACUGUCUCUUUGGGGACUAUCUUUGACUAUUUGACCUCAAAUCAGGUAGGACUACCCGCUGAACUUAA